rnacentral:lncRNA from 1 species
UGCGCUUCCUUUGAGAUUUAAUUCUCAAACCUGGUUUUUGGCAGUUCAACUGCUGUGGACCAACCGGACCGUCGUUCGUCCCCAAUCCAGACGCUGCUUGGGAUUGCUCGCCGACGAUCUUACUGAUGUCCUUCGAUAUGCUUUGGAAUUAAUCAAUCUUGUAUCAUCUCCUCCCCCUUCAGACACGACCUUGUCCUCAAGGUUUAAGGAUGGAAAGAACGCUGCUACCUCGGCGACGGACUCCCAUGAAGAAUUUUCCGGUAAUGAGCCACUCCACCGAAUAAGCACCUGUUUGAUUUUGCUUUUUCCUUUCCAUCUUAAAUCCAGUAUUGCGAUUGGAUAUAUUACAGGUCGAUUUUCAACAAUAAUUAAUGGGUUUGCCGUAGUGGCAUUCUCUGGACUAUCACCUUGGAAUUUUUUUAGCCUUGGCGCAUGAAAGGUAUUAUGAAUUUUGCUUCCAUCUGGUAAUUUUAAUUGAUAUGCAGCCCUGUUGAUUUUUCUCUGAAUUUGGUAGGGUCCAAAGAAUUUUUGUCCUAAUUUAUCGUGAAAUCUACGAGCAAUCAAUUCUUGUCUAUAGGGUUGUAGUUUCACCCAUACCCACUCACCUUCAUCAAAAAAAAUAUCAAUCCUCUUCUUAUCAGCUUGCAAUUUCAUUCUAGCCUGUGCCUUAUGUAAAUUUUCCUUCAUUAGGGCCAGAGUACUCUCUCUUAGUUGAAGGAUCAUAUCCACUGCCUCAAUUUCUGAAUCUCUAGUAUUAUAAUUUUUUUUACCUCAGAUGCUUCCUUCCCAUAUAAUGCCUUGAAGGGAGUCAUUCCUAAUGAUGAAUGAUACCCGGAAUUGUAUCACAAUUCUGCCAAGGCAGAAAUGUAGCCAUUGCUUAGGGUCUUCACGACAGUAGGACCUUAAGUACAUCUCCAAGGUUCUAUUAACAACCUCUGUUUGGCCAUCGGUUUGGGGAUGAUAAGAAGAGGAAUACAGUAGUUUUGUCCCACUUAACCUGUAGAUUUCUUUUCAAAAUUUAGAAGUAAAAUUUUAAUCUCUAUCACUUACAAUUGUAGAAGGAAUACCAUGUAGUUUGAUGACAUUUUUGAGGAAGACUUCAACCACCUUUACCACAUUGAAAUUUGGAGUUAAUGGGCCGAAAUGAGCAUACUUAGUCAGUCUAUCCACCACCACUAGUGGCGUAUCCAGGAUUCCCCGGGAGGGGGGGCAAGAUUCGCCGAAGGUGAAUUUUUUUUUUGUACUAAUUAAAAAACCUAUACAAAUUUUGGCAUGACCUAUUCAUAUAAUUGAUUAUAAAAACCUAUAAAAAAUCAAUACAUUCAUUCCAUAAUUAAUAUUCAAUACAUUAAUUAAUAUUCAAAUUAAAAAUAAAUAAAUUCAUUUAAUUAACAAUAAAAAUUUCAAAUACAUUUUACAUUAUUUCAAUGUCCUACGACGAAGACAUAUCAUUAAAUAUUUUUAAAAUAACUUCGUUGUUUAUAGUUUUAAAAAUAUCUUUCUCGAUAUAUGUUACUAAACAAUCAUUCAUCAAACUAUCACCAAGGCGAUUUUUGAGACGAGUUUUAAUGUGGAAAUCACAUUAAAGAAAUAAAUAAAAUGGUUUCUCUUUAAUUAAUUAAAAAAAGAAAUAAAAUUCACAUGGAUAUUUAAUCAAUUUAGGUCCCUGUUUUAAAAAAUCACAUGGAAUGAUAAAAAUUCAUAUUUUUCAGGUUGAUGAUAGUUCAAUUCAAUUUUUUGCAAAUGGUUCAUUUUCCUGUUUUAAAAUAUUACAUUUUUUUCCGGAUCAGCUAGGUUAAACACAAACGGAUCAAGAAUUCAAGAUAGACGGACAUACCUAGAGCCUAAAGGCUAGAGAGUAGCGGAGACUGGACUCUGGAGAGUGGAGAUGAACUGAAGGCAAUGAAAUCCGAUGGUGGUGGUGGUGUCCUGUGGGCUGUGGCACAAUAACUGAAUCUCGAUGGACGGUGGUCGGAACGUGAGAGCUUGACCGGUUGACCCUGAGAUGAUCGUGAGGUGGAUGGGAGGAGGAGAGAUUGGGGGAAAUCGUGAGUUUUGGGGAAGAAGAUUGGGGGAAACAAGAUUGAAGGAAAUGAGAUGGGGGGAAACGAGAUUGAAGGAUGGGGGAAAAUGAGAUUGGGGAAAUAAUAUUGGAGAGAUUUUGGGAGAAAUCGUGGGUUUUGGGGAUAUUGGGGAAAUUUGGGGGAUAUUGGGGAAAUAUCGUGGGUUUUGGGUUUGGGAGAGAGGUUUAGGGAUUUAGAAAUUUGGGGGAGAGGUUUAAGGAUUUAGAAAAUUUGGGGAGAGGUUUAGGGAUUUAGAAGAUUUGGGGGAGAAAUUUAGGGAUAUUUAAAUUUUUAGGGAUUUAUAUGUAAUUAAAUUUAAAAUUACAUAUAUUGUAAAAUUUAUAUAGUAUAUAAAUAUUGUGAAAUUUAUAUAUUAACCCUUAAAAAAUAUUAAUAUAUUGUGAAAAUUACACUUAACCCCCUAUAAUUUUUUUAAUUACAUAUAGGUCCUCGAAUAUUUUCCAAAUUUUAGGAGGGGCAAUUGCCCUCCCUUGCCCCCUGGAUACGCCACUGACCACCACCAUUACAACUGUCUUUCCUUCUAUCUUGGGCAGUUCAGUUAUAAAAUCCAUAGUUAUAUCCUUCCAAGGCUCUGAAGGAAUGGGUAGUCGCAUAAGUAGCCCUACUGGUUUUUGAUUUGAAGGUUUCAUCUAUUGGCAAGUUAUGCAUUCCUUCAUAUGAUUAAAAAUAGAAUCUCCCAUUUUGGCCCAAUAAAAUAAUUUAGAAAUUCUCUUUUUGGUUUUGAGAACACCAGCAUGCCCCCUAUUAGUGAAUUGUGAAACUCCCAUAAUAUCUUGGGUAUAAGUUGAGAGUCUUCCUUGAGGUAAUAUCUACCUUUAUAUAAUAGAAAACCCCCAUUGAUCUGGAAUCCAUUAUGGUCAGAUCCUUCAUUUUCUGUUUUCUGAAAUAAUUCCUGCAUUUUUGUGUCUUUGCUGUUUUCUUCUUAUAACUCCUCUAAUAGAGUAUUUAUUGAGAUAGUGAGUGAUAAUAAUGACCCAGGGGUCUUCAGAUCCACUGUGAAAUAUUACUUCCUCUUCCUCAAAGGAUCUGGACAUAUAGUGCAUCAGCCACUAUGUUCUCCUUGCCUGGCUUAUAUAAUAUUGUGAAAUCAAAACCCAACAACUUAACAAAGAAAACUUGCUGCUCAGGAGUUUGUAUAACCUGAGUUAGAAGGUUCUUGAGACUCUUGUGGUUUGUUUUGAUUAAGAAGUGAGACCCUAAGAAGUAGUGUCUUCAUUUGGCCACUGCUUGGGUGAUGGCAUACAUCUCAUUUAUAUAAAUUGCUGCAGAGCUCAAUUUUCCUGAUAUUUUUCUACUGAAAAAUGAGAUAGGGUGAUGUUCUUGUAUUAGGACUGCCCCAACACCACUCUUUCAAGCAUCAGUCUCAAUAGUGAAUUGUUUGCUGAAAUCAGAAAAUCUCAAUACUGGUGCUGAAACUAUAGCUAACUUCAAUUUCUCAAAACUUCUCUGUGCUAAUUCACCCCAUUUAAAACAGUCUUUUGUAAGUAAAUCAAUCAUAGGAGAAGCUAUUUCAGCAUAGCCUUUAAUGAACUUCUUAUAAUAACCAGUCAGCCCAAGAAAUCCCCUCAACAUUUUAAAUUUUUUUGGACCUGUCCACUCAACCAUGCCUGGAUCUGGAUGUACUCCAUCAGAUUUGAUGAUGUGGCCUAGAAACCCCAUAGAAUCCUGCUCAAAUUAAAGAACAUUUUGAUAAUUUUGCUAAUAAUUUAUUUCUUCUCAAGGUAUCAAAUACUGUCUUGAGAUGCUCUAAAUGGUCUUGUAGGGAUGAACUAUACACAAAUAUGUCAUCAAAAAAUAUGAUAACAAAUUUCCUCAAAUGUUUAGCAAAGACUGAGAUCAUCAUAGACUGAAAGGUUGCUAGAGCAUUAGUGAGCCCAAAUGGCAUCACUAGGAAUUUAAAGUGACCUUGGUGGGUUCUGAAGGCAGUUCUUUCAGUGUGUGGAGGAUGUACUCUGAUCUGAUGAAAACCAGAUCUCAUGUCCAAUUUUGAAAAUAUUUUUGACCCCUUGAGUUCACCAAGUAGCUCAUCAACAGUUGGGAUAGGGAACUUAUCCUUGAUAGUUAAGGCAUUGAGUGCCUUAUAGUCAACACAUAAUCUGUACCCACCAUCUUUUUUCUUCACUAAUAGCACUGGGGAUGAAUAAGGACUAAUGCUCACCUUAAUAAUCUCUUGGUUCAGCAUCUCAGAAAUCAACUUUUCAAUUUCAGACUUUUAAAACUGAGGGUAUCUGUAAGGUCUUACAUUCACGGGGUCUGAAUUUGGUUCAAGAUGAAUGUAGUGGUCUCUGUCUCUUUGAGGUGGAAGGCCUUCAGGUGACUCAAAAAUAUCAGAAAAUUCUUGUACUAUUUCAGUCACUUUUUUGUUGCUAGAAUUUAAAACAUUUAUCUCUGAAACAUUAACUACCUUCUUCAUAUAGCACAGAUAUGCCUCUUGGGUAGAUGCAACCAAACAUUUUAAUUGGGCUGAUGAUAAUGGAUCUUCUGAUAUCCAUGGACAGCUAUGUCAUGUUACUGUUUGCUUAUUUCUUUUAAAUUUCAUCCAUAGCUUGACAAAAUCAAAAGUGCAGGUCCUAAAGCUUUCAGACCUUGGAUUCCAAUUACCAUGUUAGAUCCAACCAUAGACAGUAGAAAUAUGUCCAUUCUUACUGCUGUAUCUUGAAUUUUAAUCUCCACAUUCUUGCAUACUCUGUCACAUAUAAGCUUCUCACCACUUCCGGUUGAAACUUUGAAAGGAACUAUUACAUGUAUGACUACCUUUGAUGCAUUUGCUACUUCAACUUGCAUGAAAUUAUGUGUGGAUCUAAUGCCCACCAAUACACUGAUAUAUUGGCACUUAAUGAACUCAUCCAAUCUGAUUAUAUUUGUGUUGAUGUGUCCUUCAAACGCACAUAGGCUGAUUUCAGUUUGGUCACCUUGUAUGAUCUGAAUAUUUUCUUCCUCCUCAGAUUCAUAAAUCUCAGCCUCAACCUCACUCUCUUUUUCAAUCUCCCAAAAACAUGAUUGAUCAGCAGAUAAUCUGAAUAUUCUUCCUUUGCAUUUGUGGCCAGGGACGAAUUUGUCAUCACAAUUAGAACACAAUCCCUUUGUUGUCCUCUCUUUUCUUUCAGUUGGAGUAAGUCUUUUAAAUACUGGUGUUGAUGUAACUGCUUCUUUUGUAGUUGAGUCAGUAGGGUCAGCCUUGGGGCUAAAAGAGACCAUCUUAGGACUCUUUGGGGUGUAGGGCUUGUAGCCUACUCCUUUAAAUCCUGGUAUUCUAGAUUCGACCAUCGAUAAUAACUCAAAGGCUUCAUGAAUAUCAUUUGGCUUAUCCCUCAAAACUUCAGUUUAAAUAUCUUCUUUGAGACCUGAGAUAUACAUCUCUAAUAUAAAAUACGCUGGUAGUCCUAGUACUCUGGUACAUAAUUCUUCAAACAUAGCUUGGUAUUCAGCCACAGUGCCAUCUUGGCAGAGCUUGCUUAGCUUCCCACCAGGUAGCUUUAGUGCAUGCUAAGUGGUGAAUUUUCUAAUCACAGCAUCCAAAAUUUUUUUCCAAGUGGACAACAUGUUGCUUGCUUCUAACCAAGCAAACAUUUUUUUGCUAUACCAUCAAGAUGAAAUGACACAAUUAAGAGUUUUUGGUCCUCUGGUAUUUUAUUGAAAAUAAAGUACCUUCUCACAGAAAAUAACCAUCCUUCUGCAUCUUUCCCAUCAAACCUUGGCAUAUUGACUCUAAUGUGUUUUGCCGAGGUAUAUGCAUCAUUGUCAAAAAUGCUACUAGCAUAGGCUGGUCUGUCUAGAUCAACCACACAUUGGUGGAACUGACGAUAAGUGACCCUCUUGGGGUUGGUAUCCCUUGUCUCUAUAGCUCCCCUGAAAUAUUAUCGAGUGGCUUCCCUUAAAUUGCAGUACAUACUUCAAUAAUUUAUUUGCUCAAUUCUAGGAUAUUGUUAUUUACUGUUGCUCUAAACUCGCUCAUAUCUUAAUCUGAGACAUUUGCAGUAUUUGCAACCUCACAAAAUCUGGAUUGUUAGAUAAAUCCGUAGUUGGUGGCAUCUUGAAAAUAAGAGUUCAAAUGUUGAAAGCACCAAUGAUAUGAGACUAUCUCGUAAAUUCCCAAUUAAAACAGCCCGACCUGACGGAUCGAGAUGCCUUAGAGCCAAGAUCAGAAAUCUUGGGUGUCUAAGGCGCAAGAAGUGGGAUUAAAUCCCUGAAAUUGAGAUUUAGCCCGGAUGGAGGUGUUUGUUGUUAAGAAACCUGUCCGAGGACUAAAUACGGAGAGAGAUGAGCUGAUUCCGGCGAUCUAUAUAUAGAGGUGUUUGUUGUUAAGCAACCUGUCCGAGGACUCAAUACAGAGAGAGAUGAGUUGAUUCCGGCGAUCUAUGGAGGUGGAGGCGGGCAGGUACUCAACGAUUGUCGGAGGGUAGGGUUGGAGGAAUUGCGAUGAAAUAGUUGUUGCAAAAAUCGAUAAAGAUUUUCAAUCAUUCAGAAUGUUUUUAAUACAGACAGGACUUAGAUAUAAUAAAACUAUUCAGAAGGUCUCUUUAAUAAAACAAUUAAACUUCUAUUUGAUCCAAUUGGGCUCAGCCCAUUUGGAAUUCUUUGAAGCGGCCCGAGAGUUUGCGCUUCCUUUGAGAUUUAAUUCUCAAACUCGGUUCUUGGCAGACCAACCAGACCGUCGUCCGUCCCCAAUCCAGGCACUACUAGGGAUUGCUUGCCGACGAUCUUACUGAUGUCCUCCGAUAUGCUUUGGAAUUCACUCAAUCUUGUAUAAUUCCCCACGGGCCACGACAACCAAAUCCCUUGAUUUCUUCGUCAAUUCCCAGACUUCUUCCUGUCUCCGAUCACUGCAAUGUUGGGACGGUGAUGUAUUUCUGAUCACUUGCCAAAUUCUGUAUUGCAUAGGAGUCGGGGAUUAGCGAAAAUCGAUUUGGGAAGAUUUAUUUAUUUGGGAGAAGUGAGAUCAGAGAUAAGUAUUUCUCGACAGAUCUUCAGUUUCUCUCGACAUAUCGUACGUAGGAAGCUGGACGUGGGAAAAUAGGGGAGAAUGGAGAUCGUAGGAGGUUAGGGGCGCCCAGAUAGAGGGAGAUCAGGAGAAUGGAGAUGACCAGAUAAGAGUAGGGACCAGAAAGUCAAAAAUCCUAAAAUUAGUAAAAUAAAAAUAUAAAAGUAAAUAAAAGCCUAAAAUAAAAUAAAUACUUAAAACUUGAUCGAUAGUUACUCGUCGUAAAAUCC